GACAAAUUUGCUCUGCGUAAAAUGUGAUGGUGUAUCGUUGUUUUCAUAGAGGAGUUUUCUUCUGAUUUUGCAAGUGCUUGGAUGAGGGAUUCAUUGCAGAGCAAUGAAUGUGUAGCAUCCCACUGAGAUUUUUGAGGACCGAAUGGGUGCGAUGCAUUUUAUUACAGACUUGUGUCCUUGGCAGCUAGAAGCACCCUGUGCUUGUUUGUAAAUAUUGGCUUUGAGGUUUUCAAGAAUUCUCAUAAAUGCCAAUAUUUCAUUACUUAACUAUUACUUCAGCAACCGAGUGUGCGCAAACAAAGUCAGGACACUUGCUCACUAUUAAACUGUUUAGUUUUUUUUUUUUUAAUCUUGCUGUGCACUUAAAUAUUCAGGGAUUUCUGUGUGCUUCUGUCAUAAUGUGUGUUGGCCCAGUGUUUUACUAGGAUCUGAGCUAUUCACAUAUUAACUGAAUGGAACCUCCCAUAUAGGGGUUCUUACAUCUGAGCAGCCUCUGCUACUGAGGGAGAAGUGUGCGUAUUCACAGGUCUGUGAAUUUGACUCUACGUAUCCUCUGUUGUGACAGUAAUGAUUUGUCUAGUGCCUGAGAAGCGAGGGAGGAAUAAAUUGCUACUGAUUCAUCUGUUGUAGAGUCCACUUGAAUAAAUGUUUACACAUAAAUCCUCCUGUAUGAAGUACUGGAAGUCAGAUUCCAAAUCCAGAAGUGAAUUGCAUUUCUACUGGUGUGAAAGCAAGAUCAGUCAGUGGAAAAACCUUUUCCUAGCCGGUGUCUGAGCAAAGUGAUGCUGGAUCUGAGCUCAAGUAAUAAAAGCACGUAUUUGAGCGAACGUAAAUGGUGUAACAUGAUUAUGUAGAAGACAAAAAGCUUGUCUGGGGUGUGCUGAGAACCAUAUUCCUCAUUCCAUAUUUCAGUGACUAAUUUUGAUGCAUGUCUCCAUUUCCAAUUGUGAUUGAAUAUAGUAACCACUUAAAUAGUAUUCUCACUGUCAAAGGGAGCUUGAAAAUGAAGAGUCAAAAAGGCCUACAGAUGGACUCCGCUCGACUUUCAUGUUGCAGUUGGGACCAUAAUAGUAGAGUCACUGCUCACAGGUAUUUAAAUACAAUCCUCCAAGGGGAAUGUAAAUUGUGUCUCUGUAACAUCUGUGAACCGUUUAUUUUCCUGAAAUCUCUUCCUCUUACGGCCUGCAUUUUUAGUAUACUUACUCUUAAGACUCCAGCAGAAAUUGAAAGUUUAUUUUAAAGAAUAUAUUUAAAACAUGCCAUAUGUAGUGGGCUCUUAAAAGAUAGUUCAAGAGCUAUGGAGAUCAAGUGAAGGGAGACCUCCUGUGGCUUUGCUCUUCUAAUCACUUAUAUUUAUUUUCAAAAGCAUAAAGCUGUUCUUUGAAAAAUGACAAAUGUGAGAAUUAGCAAAUUGUUCUGAAAGAAGACUCUUCUUAGGAACUUGGUACUUCUUAAUUCUACCUUGCUUACAAGUCUAGUGGUAUAUUCAUCAGCUAAGGUUUAUUGUGAAAUAUACUGAAUGUAUUUACUACUGUGGCUAGCAGCGUGAAAUUUACUGUUUGCAGUAAAAUGGGUUAUGGCAUUUAUAUUUUUGGGACCUGCUGAAGCAUGCUUGCUGGUUAUUAGUUGCUCCUUUUCUGACUUGACCUGUUCCUUUGUUGUUUGCCCUCUAAGCAGUUUGAGUUGAGUGACAGAUAAUGAGGUAUAGUUUUGCACUGAUGCAGAUUGGAGCUAUUGCACACUUCACUGUUAAAACUUACUCUAAUAAAAGAAGGUGUGGUAACUG
rnacentral:lncRNA from 7 species